rnacentral:lncRNA from 1 species
CUUUAUAAAAAUAAAGUAUGAAAAUAAACUGAUGAAUAAUUUUUCACCUUUGAUAAUAAAUAUUUCCUAAGAUUGAAAAUUUUAAAUUUGGGUAGGUAGAAGCCUGGGCGGGAGGGUCAGUAAAAAACUGGAGAAAUCACCCAGAAUCUGACUGGCAUGAUUUGUUUAUUUAACUGGCCUGUUUUUUGUUUAUGUUUCCUUGGUUUGAUUUGAACAAAAGAUUUCAGGUUGAUAGCUCUGUCUACAGUAAGAAAUACUAAGUCCUACACUGUGCCAGGCACUUGAAAAAUUGAUAUAAUAUGGUAACCAAAUAGAUAAGAUCUUUGCCUCCUAGAAUUUAUAGAAUAGUUCUUUAAGGAUGUUCUUUCAUAUUUAAAAGUUUAGUAAACAAAAUUUUAAAUAUCAAAGCAAAUGGCUCUUUUAUUUCACAGUAACCACUCUUGAUAGAUUGCUAACCUUCCAGACCACUUUUAUAAACACAUUUUUUAUAAAUACAUUUAGCUUACCAAAAUGGAAUCUUUCAUAAGAAGAUAUUUCUGAAGCUUCCCAUCUUAUUACAUAUAGAUCUAUCCUAUUGUUUUUAAGCCUACGUAUUAUUAACCUCUAUGAAUAUAACAGAACCUAUUUGCUACUUAUUGAUAACCAUUAAAUUGGAUUUAUACAUGGUGCUGCAAUGAGCAUGUUUUACUUCUAAGCAUUUAGCUCCAUCAGUAUGUGUUUUUAAGUACAUGAAACAAUUUUUUUCUCACAAAGAACUAUGAGGAGUCUAAUUUUGGCAUGAAUUACAAAAACUAAUUCUACACAUGGAGACUUUGGGGCCAAGGUUACACAGUAAAAUGUCAUUACCUGUCUGUUGUCUAUACUUGGAGAGGAAUCCCAUAUGAACACUGAAUAGGGUGCAGAUGAGUUCCCUCCCCUAGCAGCAGCAUUUCUUCUUCUUUGUUUCCCCCAGGCAGGUAGUAUCAACCACUCUACUCCAUAUUGGAUUUACAAG